rnacentral:lncRNA from 1 species
UAAUGGACUUCAAUCAAACUAUAGACAAAUUCUAAAUCCUAAAUCAAAUCAUAGUUAAAUUCUAAACUCUAAAUAAAAUCCUAGAUAAAUUCUAAAUAUUAAAUUCAAUCCUAAUUAAAUCCUAAACCUUAAAUCAAAUCUUAGAUAAAUCCUAAAUCCAAAACCAAACCUUAAACAAAUCCUAGAUAAAUUCAAAACCCUAACCAAAUCUUAGCCAAAUCCUAAACCAGAUCCUAGAUAAAUCCUAUAUUGUAAAUCAAAUCCUAAUCAAAUUCUAAUUCCUAAACAAGAUACAAAUCAAAUACUAUUUAAAUCCUAAAUCCUUAAUUAAAUCCUAAUCAAAUUCUAAAUAUUAAAUUAAAUCCUAACAAAAUCCUAAAUCCUAAACUAAACCUUAAACAAAUCCUAAAUCCUAAAUUAAAUCUUAACUAAAUCCUAAGGUUCUUUAGAACCUCCAUAACUUUUGAAUAAACCAUUGAUCUUAUUUAAAUUUUUACACACCUAUCAAUCUUUUAGUUACAAACAAGUACAACAAAUUUAAAGACAAUGGCACUUACUAAAUGAAAGAAAAAUCCUAAAAUCUGCUCAAAUAUUGGUUGGCCUCCUUUUUCAACCUUGAUGCUGAUCUUCCAAUGCUAACAUAUCCCCUUUUCACCAUUCAAUUGAUCUCCAAAAUCUCAUAUGCAUAUAAAAAGAAUUCUACUACCAGCACACAUAAUAUUUAUUUUAAUCCAACUGGUA